AGUCGAACGAAGUUUUUCAUUCGUGGAAAACUUAGUGGCGGACGGGUGAGUAACGCGUGGGUAACCUGCCCUGUACAGGGGGACAACAGCUGGAAACGGCUGCUAAUACCGCAUAAGCCCUUAGCACUGCAUGGUGCAUAGGGAAAAGGAGCAAUCCGGUACAGGAUGGACCCGCGUCUGAUUAGCCAGUUGGCAGGGUAACGGCCUACCAAAGCGACGAUCAGUAGCCGAUCUGAGAGGAUGUACGGCCACAUUGGGACUGAGACACGGCCCAGACUCCUACGGGAGGCAGCAGUGGGGAAUAUUGCACAAUGGAGGAAACUCUGAUGCAGCGACGCCGCGUGAGUGAAGAAGUAUUUCGGUAUGUAAAGCUCUAUCAGCAGGGAAGAAAAUGACGGUACCUGACUAAGAAGCACCGGCUAAAUACGUGCCAGCAGCCGCGGUAAUACGUAUGGUGCAAGCGUUAUCCGGAUUUACUGGGUGUAAAGGGAGCGUAGGUGGCAAGGCAAGCCAGAAGUGAAAACCCGGGGCUCAACCGCGGGAUUGCUUUUGGAACUGUCAUGCUAGAGUGCAGGAGGGGUGAGCGGAAUUCCUAGUGUAGCGGUGAAAUGCGUAGAUAUUAGGAGGAACACCGGAGGCGCAGGCGGCUCACUGGACUGUAACUGACACUGAGGCUCGAAAGCGUGGGGAGCAAACAGGAUUAGAUACCCUGGUAGUCCACGCGGUAAACGAUGAAUACUAGAUGUCGGGAAGCAUUGCUUCUCGGUGUCGUCGCAAACGCAAUAAGUAUUCCACCUGGGGAGUACGUUCG
rnacentral:rRNA from 1 species